CAAGCGCGCACACACACACACACACACACACACAUACAUAUGCAUGUUGCAUAAAAAUUAAGCAAACUGCACUUGUAGCAGCAACAAAAACAUCAACAAUAACAACAAAAGCAGCAAGUCGCAAAAACUUGCUGCCCAGAUCGAAAAAUGCAACAGUCGACAGCAACUUCCGCUGUGCGUCACGCCGGCUGCACAGCCCACUUCGCCAACACCAACGUGCCCCAACGCCCUUCGAGCAGCAGAAGCAGCAGCAGGAACAGCAGCAGAAGCUGCCUGACUGGCAACAGCUACAGUGGUCGCUCGAUAAAAUCAACAUUUCCGUUUCAAAGAGGCAAAGGCCAAUCGACGAGAGAUCACUGUACCAAGCAAGAAAAAAAGAAAGGAAGAAACAAUUGAUGCUGCAAAGUUUGCAGCAAGUUUUAGUUUUUUCUCCCUGCUGGUUGUUUGUUGGUGCUGCUUAGCCGAAGGGAUUGGAGCAUGUGCAAGUUGGGCAGCUGAAACUUUAAGCCCCAAACGUUGUCGCUGCUGCGUACGUGUUGGUGUUCAUUACGUACGUGUCCUUUUUGCCAUUUUACUCAAGUUGUCAGCGUGCCACGAGCAGCAACCGAAGCAGAAGGAGCGCUGCACAUGGACACACGGACUUAAAAAACACGCACGUGCCAACUGAAAGGAGGAUGAUAAGAUUUGACGCAUUCUGGUAUUUGAUUAGACUCUAAGCAGGUAACGACAUGUUAUACGAAACAUUCUCUAUUUAGUUCAUAUUAGUACUAUUAUAGCUAUAGCUACAAACUCUUGAGAUGUCUUGUAAAUAACAUACACUGGAGAAUUUAUUAGAAUUUGCUUCUUGAUUAAAACUAAAGCAGGUCAAGGAAUACUGAAGAGUUCAAUUAAUUCAGUAGAUCGCACAAUUCCAAAAUGGCAAGCUCAGGAGCGGACUUGCUUUAAAAAAGAAAACAAUUUUUAAGGAAUAAACAGCGAAGCUUCGAUUACUACACCCCCGGGCAAAUACAGAAUUGAAGCCGUUGGUUCCUAGAUAAAACACAUAUCCGCGAUCAUACCAUAUCAUAGAUAUAGUCCUGGUGAACCUAAACAGGGAUUAUUUGCAAAAAGCACGGAUUUGGCCGGAAACUAGCACGCCUUUCUGUUAGCCGGCUACAACUGUGGACACGCUCCACCAAAAUGGUUGCUAGUUGACCUAAAUAUCCUUGGUUAUACCAUACCGUAGAUAUAGUCCUGGCUAACCUAAAUAACCGAUGGUUCCUAGUUGACCUAAAUAUCCUUGGUUAAACCCUACCAUAGAUACAGUCAUGGUAAACCUAAAGCUCCAAAUCCGUGCAAAAUUCGCUCGGAAGUGAUCCAGAAAUAUGAAUGCAUGAAUGCCCUUUCUUUCAGCCGCCCCAGCAGCAGCCCCUCCUUCAACCUUGGUUCUCAGAUGACCGAUAUAUAUCCUUGAUUUUACUAUACCAUAGAUAUAGUCCUGAUGAACCUAAAGGUCCAAAUCAGUAGAAAAUACUAUAAGAUACUCUUUGUCGACAAUAAAGGUUUAAAAAUUAACUGUUGCAAAAUUCCACUUUACUGGGCGCGGCCGUUGGCUCAUAUUGUACAAAUCAUAAUUCAGUUGAAAUACCAGGCGAACAGAAAUGCCCAGCAGGUAGCUGCACAAAAAUUUUUUGCAAAAAUGAUGACUUGCAAUUUUCUUAACAGCUCACUGUUAACCAGCUGUUAUUUAACAGGCCGCUGUUAAGUCUAUGUUGGCUAACAUACCACUGUUAACAGCCCCUGUUACAAGGGGGCGUCCGGCUUGAACGGAAAUUUGGCAAAAAUACCAGGCGAACAGAAAUGACCAGCAGGUGGCUGCACAAAAAUUGUUAUGAAUGCAAAAUUUCAUUGCAUACCCAAACGGUAACAAAAAUUUGUAUUGCAUAACCGCAAGCUGCAAAAAAAUCAACGAUUGCAAAUUUCAAUGGCAUACUUUUACUGUCGCUAUUUUUUAGCAGCUGGAUUUUCUGGAUCACUUCCGAGCGUAUUUUGCACGGAUUUGGUUCACUAGGACUAUAUCAGUGGUAUGGUAUAACCAAGGAUAUGUGAAUCAUCUAGGUACCAUCGAGGGGGGUGGGCGUGCUAGUAGGGGGCAGCUGAAAGAAAAAUCAUGCAUUUUUCAUGACCAUUUCGGUCAUUUAGGUUCACCAGGACGUUAUCUUUGGUAUGAUAUAACCGAGGAUAUAUAGGUCAUCUGGGAACCAUCGGUUUUGUUUGGCUGUUCACGUGGGGCAUGAGAGAUAAGGCACAAAAGCAGAAAAAAAUUAUUUAAAUAACUAAAUGGCGGCAUCUCGGCCAAAUAAAGCCCGAUACCGGGAAUU